rnacentral:rRNA from 1 species
UACGUAGGGGGCAAGCGUUGUCCGGAUUUAUUGGGCGUAAAGAGCGUGUAGGCGGCCACACAGGUCUGCUGUGAAAACUCGAGGCUCAACCUCGAGCUGUCGGUGGAAACCGUGUGGCUAGAGUCCGGAAGAGGAGAGUGGAAUUCCCGGUGUAGCGGUGAAAUGCGCAGAUAUCGGGAAGAACACCUAUGGCGAAGGCAGCUCUCUGGGACGGUACUGACGCUGAGACGCGAAAGCGUGGGGAGCAAACAGG